rnacentral:rRNA from 1 species
UACGUAGGGUGCAAGCGUUAAUCGGAAUUACUGGGCGUAAAGCGUGCGCAGGCGGCUAUGCAAGACAGAUGUGAAAUCCCGGGCUCAACCUGGGAACUGCAUUUGUGACUGCAUGGCUAGAGUACGGUAGAGGGGGAUGGAAUUCCGCGUGUAGCAGUGAAAUGCGUAGAUAUGCGGAGGAACACCGAUGGCGAAGGCAAUCCCCUGGACCUGUACUGACGCUCAUGCACGAAAGCGUGGGGAGCAAACAGG